rnacentral:rRNA from 1 species
AUUGAACGCUGGCGGCAUGCCUUACACAUGCAAGUCGAACGGCAGCACGGGAGCAAUCCUGGUGGCGAGUGGCGAACGGGUGAGUAAUAUAUCGGAACGUGCCCGGUCGUGGGGGAUAACGUAGCGAAAGCUACGCUAAUACCGCAUACGAUCUACGGAUGAAAGCGGGGGGAUCGCAAGACCUCGCGCGAUUGGAGCGGCCGAUAUCAGAUUAGGUAGUUGGUGAGGUAAAGGCUCACCAAGCCGACGAUCUGUAGCUGGUCUGAGAGGACGACCAGCCACACUGGGACUGAGACACGGCCCAGACUCCUACGGGAGGCAGCAGUGGGGAAUUUUGGACAAUGGGCGCAAGCCUGAUCCAGCAAUGCCGCGUGCAGGAUGAAGGCC